AGUCGACGAUGAAUCUUCUAGCUUGCUAGAAGUGGAUUAGUGGCGCACGGGUGAGUAAUGCAUAGGUUAUGUGCCCUUUAGUCUGGGAUAGCCACUGGAAACGGUGAUUAAUACUGGAUACUCCCUACGGGGGAAAGUUUUUCGCUAAAGGAUCAGCCUAUGUCCUAUCAGCUUGUUGGUGAGGUAAUGGCUCACCAAGGCUAUGACGGGUAUCCGGCCUGAGAGGGUGAUCGGACACACUGGAACUGAGACACGGUCCAGACUCCUACGGGAGGCAGCAGUAGGGAAUAUUGCUCAAUGGGGGAAACCCUGAAGCAGCAACGCCGCGUGGAGGAUGAAGGUUUUAGGAUUGUAAACUCCUUUUGUUAGAGAAGAUUAUGACGGUAUCUAACGAAUAAGCACCGGCUAACUCCGUGCCAGCAGCCGCGGUAAUACGGAGGGUGCAAGCGUUACUCGGAAUCACUGGGCGUAAAGAGUGCGUAGGCGGGGUAAUAAGUCAGAUGUGAAAUCCUGUAGCUUAACUACAGAACUGCAUUUGAAACUGUUACUCUGGAGUGUGGGAGAGGUAGGUGGAAUUCUUGGUGUAGGGGUAAAAUCCGUAGAGAUCAAGAGGAAUACUCAUUGCGAAGGCGACCUGCUGGAACAUUACUGACGCUGAUGCACGAAAGCGUGGGGAGCAAACAGGAUUAGAUACCCUGGUAGUCCACGCCCUAAACGAUGGAUGCUAGUUGUUGCCUUGCUUGUCAGGGCAGUAAUGCAGCUAACGCAUUAAGCAUCCCGCCUGGGGAGUACGGUCGCAAGAUUAAAACUCAAAGGAAUAGACGGGGACCCGCACAAGCGGUGGAGCAUGUGGUUUAAUUCGAAGAUACGCGAAGAACCUUACCUAGGCUUGACAUUGAUAGAAUCUA
rnacentral:rRNA from 1 species